GAUGAACGCUGGCGGCGUGCCUAAUACAUGCAAGUCGAGCGAACGGACGAGAAGCUUGCUUCUCUGAUGUUAGCGGCGGACGGGUGAGUAACACGUGGAUAACCUACCUAUAAGACUGGGAUAACUUCGGGAAACCGGAGCUAAUACCGGAUAAUAUUUUGAACCGCAUGGUUCAAAAGUGAAAGACGGUCUUGCUGUCACUUAUAGAUGGAUCCGCGCUGCAUUAGCUAGUUGGUAAGGUAACGGCUUACCAAGGCAACGAUGCAUAGCCGACCUGAGAGGGUGAUCGGCCACACUGGAACUGAGACACGGUCCAGACUCCUACGGGAGGCAGCAGUAGGGAAUCUUCCGCAAUGGGCGAAAGCCUGACGGAGCAACGCCGCGUGAGUGAUGAAGGUCUUCGGAUUGUAAAACUCUGUUAUUAGGGAAGAACAUAUGUGUAAGUAACUGUGCACAUCUUGACGGUACCUAAUCAGAAAGCCACGGCUAACUACGUGCCAGCAGCCGCGGUAAUACGUAGGUGGCAAGCGUUAUCCGGAAUUAUUGGGCGUAAAGCGCGCGUAGGCGGUUUUUUAAGUCUGAUGUGAAAGCCCACGGCUCAACCGUGGAGGGUCAUUGGAAACUGGAAAACUUGAGUGCAGAAGAGGAAAGUGGAAUUCCAUGUGUAGCGGUGAAAUGCGCAGAGAUAUGGAGGAACACCAGUGGCGAAGGCGACUUUCUGGUCUGUAACUGACGCUGAUGUGCGAAAGCGUGGGGAUCAAACAGGAUUAGAUACCCUGGUAGUCCACGCCGUAAACGAUGAGUGCUAAGUGUUAGGGGGUUUCCGCCCCUUAGUGCUGCAGCUAACGCAUUAAGCACUCCGCCUGGGGAGUACGACCGCAAGGUUGAAACUCAAAGGAAUUGACGGGGACCCGCACAAGCGGUGGAGCAUGUGGUUUAAUUCGAAGCAACGCGAAGAACCUUACCAAAUCUUGACAUCCUUUGACAACUCUAGAGAUAGAGCUUUCCCCUUCGGGGGACAAAGUGACAGGUGGUGCAUGGUUGUCGUCAGCUCGUGUCGUGAGAUGUUGGGUUAAGUCCCGCAACGAGCGCAACCCUUAAGCUUAGUUGCCAUCAUUAAGUUGGGCACUCUAAGUUGACUGCCGGUGACAAACCGGAGGAAGGUGGGGAUGACGUCAAAUCAUCAUGCCCCUUAUGAUUUGGGCUACACACGUGCUACAAUGGACAAUACAAAGGGCAGCGAAACCGUGAGGUCAAGCAAAUCCCAUAAAGUUGUUCUCAGUUCGGAUUGUAGUCUGCAACUCGACUACACGAAGCUGGAAUCGCUAGUAAUCGUAGAUCAGCAUGCUACGGUGAAUACGUUCCCGGGUC
rnacentral:rRNA from 1 species